rnacentral:lncRNA from 1 species
AAUUCUUUCUAAAGGUUUGCUAUCGACCUCAAGAAAAUUAUUUUCCCUUUCAUCUCCAGAAUCUUUGCCUUCUCCCUAGAGCUUCUUCCAAGCCUUCUUGUUCGCAAAUUCAGGCACAAAAUAUUAGUUAUAUUUAGUUAGAGUGUUAGUGUAUCUUUAACCUCUUCACUGCUGCCUCUCACCAGUCCACAGCAUUUGUGCAACAGAGCUGUGUGAUAUUUUCCUUUGAAGUCCUAAUGAAGUCAGAGUGGAUCCUUGAGCUGGGGAUGCAAGCUGGUUGCCAGCAUACACCCGGUUACGUAGUUGUUCAUACUGAAGCAACUGGACUAGGAAGUGAGGAAUCAGGAACAAACAAAUAUUCCCAAGCAAAGUGAAAAAUACUUCAAUUGUCUUUGAAAAGCCAUGUCAGUGCCCCCCUAUUCUGCUCUUCCUUUGCCCAGACUUAGACACCUGUGUUGCUAUACUCAAAUCAGUAGAUUUGAGUUGUGCUUAGUAAACACCAUCUAACAAAACCCCACUGCAGUAAUUUAAGAAAUUGCCACUUCAUCUUGAAGAAAAAUGUACAAACAAAAAACCAGGAAGACUCAUGCAAAUCCCGUUGCUCAGAUCCACGAAAGGAUUCUGAUAUGGGCUGAAACUAAAUCACUUUCAAGGAAAUGCAGCUGGAAGCACACUAAUCUAAAAGCUUCCCAGGGAAAGCAGCACAGGCCUCCAUUCUGCUGCGUCUCCGCCCCCAGCUAAAGUGCACCAUGGCUCCCUGAGAACCCUUAACCCUUGCGCUGCAGCAUUGCCUCACCAGCAAUAUUCAGGGGAUAAAAAUAAAAC